AAUGAACGCUAGCGGCAGGCUUAACACAUGCAAGUCGAACGAGUGGCGGACGGGUGAGUAAUGCCCGGGAACUGCUUGAUGGUGGGGGAUAACAACUGGAAACGGUAGAUAAUAACGCAUACUAUCGGAUAAUCCAUAUGGGAUGAGCUAGUAGGUGAGGUAAUGGCUAGCCUAGGCGACGAUCCCUAGCUGGGCUGAGAGGAUGAUCAGCCCCACUGGGACUGAGACCCGGCCCAGACUCCUACGGAGGCAGCAGUGGGGAAUAUUGCACAAUGGGCGCAAGCCUGAGGCAGCCAUGCCGCGUGUAUGAAAAAGGCCCUAGGGUUGUAGAGUACUUUCAGUCGGGAGGCGUUACCGAAAGAAGAAGCACCGGCUAACUCCGUGCCAGCCGCCGCGGUAAUAC
rnacentral:rRNA from 1 species